CCUACGGGUGGCAGCAGUGGGGAAUAUUGCACAAUGGGGGAAACCCUGAUGCAGCGACGCCGCGUGAGUGAAGAAGUAUCUCGGUAUGUAAAGCUCUGUCAGCAGGGAAGAAAAUGACGGUACCUGACCAAGAAGCACCGGAUAACUACGUGCCAGCAGCCGGGGUAAUACGUAGGGGGCAAGCGUUAUCCGGAUUUACUGGGCGUAAAGGGAGCGUAGACGGCAGGGCAAGUCUGGAGGGAAAGGCGGGGGCUCAACCCCCGGACUGCUGUUGAAACUGCCAGGCUGGAGUGCAGGAGAGGUAAGUGGAAUGCCUAGUGUAGCGGUGAAAUGCGUAGAUAUUAGGAGGAACACCAGUGGCGAAGGCGGCUUACUGGACUGUAACUGACGUUGAGGCUCGAAAGCGUGGGGAGCAAACAGGAUUAGAUACCCGAGUAGUC
rnacentral:rRNA from 1 species